CCUACGGGAGGCUGCAGUGAGGAAUAUUGGUCAAUGGGCGCGAGCCUGAACCAGCCAAGUAGCGUGAAGGAUGACUGCCCUACGGGUUGUAAACUUCUUUUAUAAAGGAAUAAAGUGAGGCACGUGUGCCUUUUUGUAUGUACUUUAUGAAUAAGGAUCGGCUAACUCCGUGCCAGCAGCCGCGGUAAUACGGAGGAUCCGAGCGUUAUCCGGAUUUAUUGGGUUUAAAGGGUGCGCAGGCGGCCUGUUAAGUCAGCGGUAAAAGCCCGGGGCUCAACCCCGGCGAGCCGUUGAAACUGGCGGGCUGGAGUUGGAGAGAAGUACGCGGAAUGCGCGGUGUAGCGGUGAAAUGCUUAGAUAUCACGCAGAACUCCGAUGGCGAAGGCAGCAUACCGGCGCUCAACUGACGCUCAUGCACGAAAGUGUGGGUAUCGAACAGGAUUAGAUACCCGUGUAGUC
rnacentral:rRNA from 1 species